CCUACGGGAGGCAGCAGUAGGGAAUCUUCCACAAUGGGCGCAAGCCUGAUGGAGCAACACCGCGUGAGUGAAGAAGGGUUUCGGCUCGUAAAGCUCUGUUGUUAAAGAAGAACACGUCUGAGAGUAACUGUUCAUGCGUUGACGGUAUUUAACCAGAAAGGCACGGCUAACUACAUGCCAGCAGCCGCGG
rnacentral:rRNA from 1 species